rnacentral:rRNA from 1 species
CCUACGGGUGGCAGCAGUGGGGAAUAUUGGACAACGGGGGCAACCCUGAUCCAGCCAUGCCGCGUGUGUGAAGAAGGCCCUCGGGUUGUAAAGCACUUUCAGUGAGGAAGAACGCCUGGUGGUUAAUACCCAUCAGGAAAGACAUCACUCACAGAAGAAGCACCGGCUAACUCCGUGCCAGCAGCCGCGGUAAUACGGAGGGUGCGAGCGUUAAUCGGAAUUACUGGGCGUAAAGCGCGCGUAGGUGGCUUGAUAAGCCGGUUGUGAAAGCCCCGGGCUCAACCUGGGAACGGCAUCCGGAACUGUCAAGCUAGAGUGCAGGAGAGGAAGGUAGAAUUCCCGGUGUAGCGGUGAAAUGCGUAGAGAUCGGGAGGAAUACCAGUGGCGAAGGCGGCCUUCUGGACUGACACUGACACUGAGGUGCGAAAGCGUGGGUAGCAAACAGGAUUAGAUACCCCUGUAGUC